CUGGCCUUGACAUAGUAAGAACUUUCCAGAGAUGGAUUGGUGCCUUCGGGAACUUACAUACAGGUGCUGCAUGGCUGUCGUCAGCUCGUGUCGUGAGAUGUUGGGUUAAGUCCCGCGACGAGCGCAACCCUUGUCUCUAGUUGCUACGAAAGGGCACUCUAGAGAGACUGCCGGUGACAAACCGGAGGAAGGUGGGGAUGACGUCAAGUCCUCAUGGCCCUUAUGGGUAGGGCUUCACACGUCAUACAAUGGUGCGUACAGAGGGUUGCCAACCCGCGAGGGGGAGCUAAUCCCAGAAAACGCAUCGUAGUCCGGAUCGUAGUCUGCAACUCGACUACGUGAAGCUGGAAUCGCUAGUAAUCGCGGAUCAGCAUGCCGCGGUGAAUACGUUCCC
rnacentral:rRNA from 1 species